ensembl:lncRNA
AUGCAAUCAUUAAACUUGAACCCGGUGACAUCUCAGUGUUCUUCCAACAGACUCGAGGACAUGAAGAUACACACUAGGUCUGCAUCUCAGCCUCUCAGUCGAGUGAAAGCAGCAGCCGCUGACCAGGGCUCCAUCUCCCCUCUCAAAUCCUCUAAAGUCCCACCACCCUCCUCCGUCUCUGCCUCUGCCAAACGAAUUGGCCGCUCUUCAUCUUCAUCAACCAACCUCAAGAGUUCCCUGGUGGCCUUCUUUCCUCUCUGUGAUUACCCUGUGCUCUGAAACAGAGGGCCGUAAACGCAAGGAACCAAGUUGGUUGCUCAGUGCUGUUGGCUUCAAGCGACUCGUUCCCUGCUGUUUAUGUAAUCAGAUAUCCAGAGUUAUAUCACCUACCUACUACUCUAUCACUCUCUCCAAACCAGCACCUAUCGGGUCACAGACAUGUAUUUUUGGACCAAGUGCAUACCCACUGCUUUCUAGUACUGUUCAAACCAUGUUGAAAACACUCUCUGGAGUAGGGGUGGGUGAUUAGAACUUUAAUUUUUAUAUGUAUGUAUAUAUGUUGGUGGGUAAUGCAUUACAAGUAAUGUAAUCAGAUUACCUUUUUCCCAAGUAGCUAGUAAAGUAAUCCAUUACUUGUUAUUUUACAAGAAAAUUUGAGUUACUUUUUCAAACAAGUAACAGCAGUUGUCAGUGCCGCUAGCCUUGUGGGCAGCGCGCCGAUAUAUAGCGCUGUUGCGCUUUGGGGGACCCGAGUUUGAGUCCUGGCUCACGGACCUUUCCCGAUCCACCCCCCCACCCCACCCCCACCUCGUUUCUUGUCAAUAUAUCCUAAUAAAAAUGCAAAAAUGGCACA